GCGUUGUCCGGAUUUAUUGGGCGUAAAGAGCUCGUAGGCGGCUUAGCAAGUCAGGUGUGAAAACUCCAGGCUCAACCUGGAGACGCCACUUGAGACUGCUAUGGCUAGAGUCCGGUAGGGGACCACGGAAUUCCUGGUGUAGCGGUGAAAUGCGCAGAUAUCAGGAGGAACACCAGUGGCGAAGGCGGUGGUCUGGGCCGGCACUGACGCUGAGGAGCGAAAGCGU
rnacentral:rRNA from 1 species